GGCUGCUGAGGGAGCUGGGGAGCUUCAGCCUUCGUCCCCCAGUCCUGAGAUGAGAGCCAGGGUUGGGCAGCACCUUGGCCUGCACACCUCAGCCCCUGUUCUUCUUGCAGGUGCCUGCAGAGGGAGAUGCCCAAGGCAGCAGCACGUUGACGGACCACAGAUGGAAACCACAGACAACGGCGAAGUCACAUACUCCACCAUUGCCCACGUUCGACGGGACAGGGUGAGUCGUGGCACAGCUGUGCACAGCUCCUUUCUGCACUCCUGCAGCCUGGUGCCUGCUCAUUGUGCAGGGCUCACAGUCAGCAGCUGAAGUAACAGGGUUUCUUUUCCCCCUAAAGCCUCGUCCCAUGCAGCACAUGAGCGACACCACGACGUAUGCCACAGUGAGCCGCACCCAGACCCGAUAGCGCUGCCACAGGGCAAGGGCACAGGAGCCUUGUCCACAGCCGCCUUUGCUCUCCUGCAGAGUUCUUGUGCAGUCAUAUCAUGGGGUUGAGGGUUGCACUUUGGGCAUCUCUGGAAUUUGCUGUCACAGGGAACGGCUGUGUUUGUCUAGCCAAGAGGAUGAAGGACUCAUAUUUCUUUUUGCAAUGAAUUAAUACCUCUAAAAUAUGUCAGGUGUACCAAGUAAUAAUAUGAGUGUAUCAAUGCUUUUUUUUCAUGUGAAACCAUCUCCCUGUGCUCA
rnacentral:lncRNA from 1 species